CACCAAUCACGCCUGGCGUGGUAUUGGGCAACGCGGUCCGCCGCGUGCCUCAAAUCGACCGGCUGGGUCUUCUGUCCCCUAAGCGUUGUGGAAACUAUUCGCUAAAGGGUGCUCGGGAGGCUACGCCGUAAAACAAACCCAUUUCUAA
rnacentral:misc_RNA from 1 species